rnacentral:rRNA from 1 species
ACGAACGCUGGCGGCGUGCUUAACACAUGCAAGUCGAACGGAAAGGCCCUGCUUUUGUGGGGUGCUCGAGUGGCGAACGGGUGAGUAACACGUGAGUAACCUGCCCUUGACUUUGGGAUAACUUCAGGAAACUGGGGCUAAUACCGGAUAGGAGCUCCUGCUGCAUGGUGGGGGUUGGAAAGUUUCGGCGGUUGGGGAUGGACUCGCGGCUUAUCAGCUUGUUGGUGGGGUAGUGGCUUACCAAGGCUUUGACGGGUAGCCGGCCUGAGAGGGUGACCGGCCACAUUGGGACUGAGAUACGGCCCAGACUCCUACGGGAGGCAGCAGUGGGGAAUAUUGCACAAUGGGCGGAAGCCUGAUGCAGCAACGCCGCGUGCGGGAUGACGGCCUUCGGGUUGUAAACCGCUUUCGCCUGUGACGAAGCGUGAGUGACGGUAAUGGGUAAAGAAGCACCGGCUAAAUACGUG